rnacentral:rRNA from 1 species
AGAGUUUGAUCCUGGCUCAGGAUGAACGCUAGCGACAGGCUUAACACAUGCAAGUCGAGGGGCAGCAGGGGAGUAGCAAUACUCCCGCUGGCGACCGGCGCACGGGUGAGUAACACGUAUGCAACCUGCCCUUGUCAGGGGAUAAGCGGAAGAAAUUCCGUCUAAUACCGCAUAACGCUGCGGGGAGACAUCUCCCUGCAGCCAAAGAUUUAUCGGACAAGGAUGGGCAUGCGGCGCAUUAGCUGGUUGGCGGGGUAACGGCCCACCAAGGCGACGAUGCGUAGGGGUUCUGAGAGGAAGGUCCCCCACACUGGUACUGAGACACGGACCAGACUCCUACGGGAGGCAGCAGUGAGGAAUAUUGGUCAAUGGCCGGGAGGCUGAACCAGCCAAGUCGCGUGAGGGAAGACGGUCCUAUGGAUUGUAAACCUCUUUUGUCAGGGAGCAAAAACUGCCACGCGUGGCAGGAUGAGAGUACCUGAAGAAAAAGCAUCGGCUAACUCCGUGCCAGCAGCCGCGGUAAUACGGAGGAUGCGAGCGUUAUCCGGAUUUAUUGGGUUUAAAGGGUGCGUAGGCGGACAGUUAAGUCAGCGGUAAAAUUGAGAGGCUCAACCUCUUCCCGCCGUUGAAACUGAUUGUCUUGAGUGGGCGAGAAGUAUGCGGAAUGCGUGGUGUAGCGGUGAAAUGCAUAGAUAUCACGCAGAACUCCGAUUGCGAAGGCAGCAUACCGGCGCCCAACUGACGCUGAAGCACGAAAGCGUGGGUAUCGAACAGGAUUAGAUACCCUGGUAGUCCACGCAGUAAACGAUGAAUACUAAUUGUUCGGGUCAAAUGAGAUCUGAGUGAUACAGCGAAAGCGUUAAGUAUUCCACCUGGGGAGUACGCCGGCAACGGUGAAACUCAAAGGAAUUGACGGGGGCCCGCACAAGCGGAGGAACAUGUGGUUUAAUUCGAUGAUACGCGAGGAACCUUACCCGGGCUCAAACGACACAGGAAUGAUCUGAGAAAUCAGACAGUCCUUCGGGACCUGUGUCGAGGUGCUGCAUGGUUGUCGUCAGCUCGUGCCGUGAGGUGUCGGCUUAAGUGCCAUAACGAGCGCAACCCCCAUCGACAGUUGCCAGCAGGUGAAGCUGGGCACUCUGUCGAGACUGCCGGCGCAAGCUGUGAGGAAGGCGGGGAUGACGUCAAAUCAGCACGGCCCUUACGUCCGGGGCGACACACGUGUUACAAUGGCAGGUACAGCGGGAAGCCACCUGGCGACAGGGAGCGAAACCCGAAAGCCUGUCUCAGUUCGGAUUGGAGUCUGCAACUCGACUCCAUGAAGCUGGAUUCGCUAGUAAUCGCGCAUCAGCCACGGCGCGGUGAAUACGUUCCCGGGCCUUGUACACACCGCCCGUCAAGCCAUGGAAGUCGGGAGUGCCUGAAGUGCGCCCAACCAGCGCCCUAAGGUAAAACUGAUGACUGGGGCUAAGUCGUAACAAGGUAGCCGU